UACAGAGGGUGCAAGCGUUAAUCGGAAUUACUGGGCGUAAAGCGUGCGUAGACGGUUACAUAAGUCGGGUGUGAAAGCCCCGGGCUCAACCUGGGAAUUGCAUUCGAGACUGCGUAGCUAGGGUGCGGAAGAGGGAAGCGGAAUUUCCGGUGUAGCGGUGAAAUGCGUAGAUAUCGGAAGGAACACCAGUGGCGAAGGCGGCUUCCUGGCCUGUUCUUGACGCUGAGGUGCGAAAGCUAGGGGAGCAACGGG
rnacentral:rRNA from 1 species